rnacentral:pre_miRNA from 1 species
UGCCGAGGCUCGCCUAGCCACUGGCGAGGCUUGGCCUCCCCAGAUCUGGCGAGGCCAAGCCUCGCCGGUGGCUGGGCUUGCCUCCGGC